AUGGUAAAAAAGCUUGUGUUAGAUGGAGAAAGCACAUCUGAAAUAACGUGCGAAAAGACAAAGUUUUCACUGAUGUGCAUCUGGAAACGAACAGGACGCUCCUACGGCACAGCACUGCGCUGGGUGUCGGGGCCGCCUGACACCGCUGUGCCUUUGCGGGGGUCUCUAAUGGGACUCCUCCCACCCACAACCGCCCCCAUCCGCACCCGGCAGAGCCCUCGAUGGAGGGGUCACCGGGCAGGUCCGUUGCCACGAGGUCCCCGGUGCAGGAACGGAGGCGGGCGGCCCGAGGAGGAGCUGCAGGCCGCCGGGGACACUGCGGGGCCGCCCCGUUGCCUUUGCCCGCUAGAGGGCAAGAGAGCCCCGUACAAGCGCGGCGGGGCCGUGCCCCUGGCCCUGUCCGGCUGCCCCCGGCACGCCGUCGUCCUGCCCGGCCCCGGGAAACGGGGCAGCGCGGCGGGGCGGCCCCUCGGGGGGGUGGGGGAGCGCGACGCCGAGGGCCCGCGGCCUCGUGGGGUGGAUGUGCGCUGGGGGAGGGCGGGCCCUGCGCCGGGCGGGGGGACGCGCCACGGCUGGCCGCAUUACGGCCGCUCGGGGCUCCGCGGAGGCCUGCGGGACGGCACGGCUCGGCACGGCGCCGCAGGAAACGGGCAGCGGGGGCGGCUCCGGCGCGGAGUGCUGCGGGCCGGCACCUCCCGACCGGUCCUGGGGCGGGGAGCGGGGCCUGCGCUUGGUCCGGCUCUGCCGCCGGGCUCCGGCCGAAGGGAUCGGUGUGUUCUCGGCUCGGGGAUGCCGCCCCAUCUUCCAAAGGGCCCGAAGGGGAAGAGCCGGCGGCUGAGGGCUGAGGGGAGCCCUAGAGGCUGCGCGGGCGGACUGCAGCCCGCAGCCCAGCCGGCAGCCUGCAGCAGGCACCGGGGAGCGAGUGGGGGGAGGGCACGGGGAAGGCAGAAAUCCCUUCGGACAGAGGCGGUGCGGCCCGGCAAUAACGCUGGGGUGCUGUGGGUGAGAGCAGGGUGA
rnacentral:lncRNA from 1 species